UUUUUUUUUUUUUUUUUUGAGACAGGGUCUUACUCUGUCACUCUGUUAGCUGAGUGUACUGGUAGGAUCAUAGCUCACUGCAACCUCAAACUCCUGGGCUCAAGCAAUCCUCCCACCUCAGUGCACUCCUGGGCAGCUGGGACUACAGGUGUGCACCACCACACCUAGCUAAUUUUUAAGUAGAAAUGGGAAUCUCACCAUAUUGCCCGGGCUGGUCUCCAACCCCUGGACUCAAGCAAUCCUCCUGCCUCGGUCUCCCAAAGUGCUGGGAUUACAGGCAUGAGCCACCACACCCAGCCCAUUCAUUCAUUCAUUCAUUCAUUCAUUCAGCAGGUAACUGACAACUGAAAAACCAUCCUUCCUCCAGUGAUGCCUGAAAAGCAGAAACUCAAACACUCUGAAGGUCUCCAUCAAUUUGAUUGUUGGAAAUGAAUGCCUGUAGGUUCAUGCCAGGUGGGACUAUCCCAGUGGCUGCAGUCAGUGGCUUUGUUGUUGAUGUUGUUGUUAUCUACCUUCUCCUCUGCCACCCCCAAAUUACAAAUGGAAUACAGCACUUCCAGGUAGAAAAUUUGGGAAAUGCAGGAGAACAGAGAGAAGAAAAGAGCCACCAACCAAAACUUCACCAGCCAGAGGGAAACCUCUGUUCUCAUUGUCUUAUUUCUUCCUUCCAGUGUGUUUUGUUCCUCUGGAGUGAAGUUUUAUUGGCUAUUCUUUUAAACAUCUCCUGUGCUGUCUCCUCCCAAAUUAGAAAAAUCUAGAGGUGGUCUUCCGUGCGUGUCCAUGUAGGCAGUGAGCUUGAUUUUAACCCUGGUAGCUAGAAGUAGAAGACAGAGAAAAAGGAAGAGGAAAGUAUUCCAUAUACUGACACUUUUCAGGGGAAGUGUUUGAGUUUCUAGAAGGGUUAAGGGAAGAGAAAGUCUCAGAAUCUAGUACGAAGAGCACAGCCUGUGGCGUCAGCUGGAGUGGGGUGCAACCUUUGGCUGUGCCACCCCCUACUGUGUGACCUUGGGCAUGACCCUUCACCUCUCCAGGCCGCCGUACCUCUGUAAAAUGUGGAAGGGAUUAAAUGGGAUAAUGUGGAAGGGAUUAAAUGGGAUAAUGUAGGCAGGCAUGGUGGCUCACACCUGUAAUUCCAGCACCUUGGGAGGAUGAAGCAGGAGGAUCGCUUGAGGCCAGGAGUUCAAGACCAGCCUGGGCAACAUAGUGAGACCCCAUCUCUAAAAAAAAAAAAAAUUCAGAAUUUGCCACACAUCGUGGUGCAUACUUAUAGUUCCAGCUACUUGAGAGGCUGAAGCGGGAGAGUCACUUGAGCCCAGAAGUUUGCAGUUACAGUGAGCUAUGAUUGUACCACUGCACUCCAGCCUGGGCAACAGAGCAAGACCCUGUCUCAAAACAAAAAAACAAAGAAGAAUGUAUCAAACCAACAAACUUAUAACAUGAUUAUUAUUAUUACUAUUUUCUGAGUCUUGGAUGCCAAAAUCGUUGUGAAGAUUAAAUGAACUAAUAUUUCUCAGGUACUUGGAAAGAGAAUAAAGCAUCCAUAUUUGGUAGUUUAUAAAUAGAAAGGGGGGCAAGUCUCCCACCUUUCCACCCACUGUCUUUCUGCCACCAUUUUGAGGGGUCUUUACUGGUUUGAGCUGAAACCACGGCUUUUCUGAGCUGGUACCUUUAUAAAGAGGAAAGAUCUCUCUUUCUCCCUUUCUUCUUCUUCUUUUUGUUUUUUUUUAGACAGAGUCUCACUGUGUCGCCCAGGCUGGAGCGCAGUGGCGCGAUCUUGGCUCACAGCAACCUCUGCCUCUCGGGUUCAAGCAAUUCUCCUGCUUCAGCCUCCCAAGUAGCUGGGAUUACAGGCACCUGCCACCACGCCUGGCUAAUUUUUGUAUUUUUAGUAGAGACGGGCUUUCACCAUGUUGGCCAGUCUGGUCUUGAACUCCUGACCUCAAGUGAUCCACCCGCCUUGGCCUCCCAAAGUGCUGGGAUUACAGGCGUGAGCCACUGUGUCUAGCCUACUUAACUAUCUUUCAUAGGGAAAACGAAACCAAAAUGUUGAGUGAAUUUCCUGCCCUCAUGUCUUCAUGGCAUAGAAACCUAGCAUUGGAGAUAAGUCUUUUACCCUUACUUUGUCCCAGCAAACAGCUGUCAGGAGGGAC
ensembl:lncRNA